CUUAACGGAGUUUUAUAAAGUAUGUUUUUGUAACGAAAGGUUUAUGUCUAAGAUUUAGUUGUUGAGAAGUGUUGUUUGGUCUGGGUAAGGUCUUGUAAACUAAAUUUAUGUGGUGAUAAGUGAGUUGUAAAGCUUUAUAACUGUUUGGUUGUUUAGAAUUUAGUGGGAUGUAGGUGGCUAUUAGGUCAUUUAUAUUUUUAUACAUUUGGUGAUGUGUGGUUUUUGAUAAGGUUAGAGGUACCUAGUUUUUGUUAUAUUGUUGUAAAUAUGGUUUUGUUGGUUUAUUGGUAUGUUAAUUGUUUGAACAACUGUUUUGCUAUAUUUGGUUAUUAUAUUAUCGUUGAAUAAGUAAUUUUAUUAUGCUAUUUAUUUCUUGAGUUCUUUCCGUCUGUUUAUUAAAAACAUUUCUAAUUUUAAUUGUAGUUAGUAGUGCCUGCCCAAUGUUGGUUAAUUAAUGGCCGCAGUAUAUUGACUGUGCAAAGGUAGCAUAAUUAAUUGCCUUUUAAUUGGAGGCUUGUUUGAAUGGUUUGACGUGAUUGGUAUGAAUAUUUGGUAUUUAGUUGAAAUUGAUUUUGAGGGUUUAGAAUCCUUAAUGUUUAAUAAGACGGAAAGACCCUAGGAUCUUUUGUUUUUGUUUGGGGCAAAUAUUGUUGUUUUAUGAAUAUUGUGCCCCU
rnacentral:rRNA from 1 species